AACGUAGUGAAUUUGCCCUGAGUCAUGAUGUUGCAAAGAAAAAUAAAGGACAGACUUUAAAGCAGAAGGCUAAUCAGCAGCUGUAUGUCCUCUUGACUUCUUGCCUACCUCAGACUUAACUGUAGGGGGCAAAAUGAGAAACGGAAAUUGUUGACGGGGUACAAGCACUGUUUGGCAGUAGCUAAAACACUGCUGUGUUGCCAACACUGUUUUGGUCAGAAAUCUAACACAAGGCAUUGUGUGGGCUGCUCUGAAGAAAAUUAACUCCAUUCCAGUCAGCACCUGCAGCAAAAACAGCAAGUGAAAGAAAUAAGGUCCGCAUACAAAUGGAUGUAACUGAUGACCUUGAUUUCACUCAUUCAUCUGACACAACAUCAGAGGAUGUCAAACUACCAACAUCCACCUGCAGAGAGGCUGUGUUGCUCUUAGAACAGCUUACUGUGGAUCAUGCAGGUUCUGUUAUUUUACUGAAAAUUCAAAACAUGCUUCUUAAAUAUGAACAAAUAAUAGAGCAUGAAAAAAAUCGGUAUGCAGCAGUCUCGAGAGAAGUAAGAAAGUUGGAAAGUGAAAAGGAAAAAUCAAAAUUACUAGCAGAAGAGACUUGAAGAUUUGAAAUCCGUAUUGGCUCAUCAAGAAGUGGAAUGGAAGAGUGAUAUCCAAAGCC